AGCGAACGCUGGCGGCAGGCCUAACACAUGCAAGUCGAACGAACCUUUCGGGGUUAGUGGCGGACGGGUGAGUAACACGUGGGAACGUGCCUUUAGGUUCGGAAUAACUCAGGGAAUCUUGUGCUAAUACCGAAUGUGCCCUUCGGGGGAAAGAUCUAUCGCCUUUAGAGCGGCCCGCGUCUGAUUAGCUAGUUGGUUGAGGUAAUGGCUCACCAAGGCGACGAUCAGUAGCUGGUCUGAGAGGAUGAUCAGCCACAUUGGGACUGAGACACGGCCCAAACUCCUACGGGAGGCAGCAGUGGGGAAUCUUGCGCAAUGGGCGAAAGCCUGACGCAGCCAUGCCGCGUGAAUGAUGAAGGUCUUAGGAUUGUAAAAUUCUUUCACCGGGGACGAUAAUGACGGUACCCGGAGAAGAAGCCCCGGCUAACUUCGUG
rnacentral:rRNA from 1 species